rnacentral:rRNA from 1 species
CACGUAGGGCGCAAGCGUUGUCCGGAAUUAUUGGGCGUAAAGAGCUCGUAGGUGGUUUGUUACGCCUGCUGUGAAAUCCUAGGGCUUAACCCUGGGCUUGCAGUGGAUACGGGCAGACUAGAGGUAGGUAGGGGAGAAUGGAAUUCCUGGUGUAGCGGUGAAAUGCGCAGAUAUCAGGAGGAACACCGGUGGCGAAGGCGGUUCUCUGGGCCUUACCUGACACUGAGGAGCGAAAGCGUGGGGAGCGAACAGG